rnacentral:rRNA from 1 species
UACGGAGGGUGCAAGCGUUAUCCGGAUUCACUGGGUUUAAAGGGUGUGUAGGCGGGCUGUUAAGUCAGUGGUGAAAUCUCCGGGCUCAACCCGGAAACUGCCAUUGAUACUAUCAGUCUUGAAUUCUGUUGAGGUGGGCGGAAUAUGUCACGUAGCGGUGAAAUGCAUAGAUAUGACAUAGAACACCAAUUGCGAAGGCAGCUCACUAAGCAGCGAUUGACGCUGAGGCACGAAAGCGUGGGGAUCAAACAGG